UGGGGAAUCUUGCACAAUGGGGGCAACCCUGAUGCAGCGACGCCGCGUGAGCGAUGAAGGUUUUCGAAUCGUAAAGCUCUGUCCUAUGGGAAGAUAAUGACGGUACCAUAGGAGGAAGCCCCGGCUAACUACGUGCCAGCAGCCGCGGUAAUACGUAGGGGGUGAGCGUUGUCCGGAAUUAUUGGGCGUAAAGGGUACGUAGGCGGUCUAUUAAGUCAGGUGUGAAAGCGUGAGGCUUAACCUCAUUAAGCACUUGAAACUGAUAGACUUGAGUGAAGGAGAGGAAAGUGGAAUUCCUAGUGUAGCGGUGAAAUGCGUAGAUAUUAGGAGGAAUACCGGUGGCGAAGGCGACUUUCUGGACUUUUACUGACGCUCAGGUACGAAAGCGUGGGGAGCAAACAGG
rnacentral:rRNA from 1 species